ensembl:misc_RNA Y_RNA Y RNA
GGCAGGUCCGAAGGUAGUGGGUUAUCUCAAUUGACUGUUCACAGUCAGUCAUAGAUAGACUUCCUGGUCCUACUCUUUCCCCCUUUCUCACUAUUGCACUUGACUUGUCUAAA